CUGUGGAAGGACUAAAAGGCAGUAGACAAGCACCCAGAGGAAAAUGAUUAAGUAGAAUAGCUCUGAUUGCUCAACACUUGGAGUCUGGCGAGGAGGCGCUGCAGUCUCAUUUGUUUCCAUGUCCUUUUUCAGCCCAAUGAUCAAUAGAUUUUCAUCCACUUCUGUCAUCUUCUGAUCCUUUUUACCAGAGGUUUCCAAUCCAGCAGUAUCAGGAAACCUUUUUCGGAGAUAAAUGUUGGAAUCAUUGUCACAAGUUCUGGUCAACUCCUGGCUAUUAGCAAUUUCUUCCAGUUCAUCAUCAAACAGUGCAGUAUGCCCAACUUCUGAGGUCUGUAACUCUUCUACUUUGAUCAUAUUUUCCUUUUUUUCAUCCCCAUUACUACUUUCUUCCAGUCUUACUCCCACUAUUGCAAAGUCAUCUAAAUUGUCUCCUAUGACCUCAGGAUGCUGUAGAAUCAUGGAAUCUUCAUUGCCGGUGGCUUUUUGGCUGUCUAUUUCAAUUUCUAUCUCUCCUAUUAGUAAUGGCACUUCUUUUUCAUAGAAGGAAGUGCUAUGACUGUUCAUAUCUAUUGUUUCCUCCUCUCCAUUCUCAGUACCCAUUUCCAAUGAAGGGACGCCAUGAUUAUUCUGCAAGCCUGGCUCUGGAGCAUCCUCCUUGUAGUCCUG
rnacentral:lncRNA from 1 species